rnacentral:rRNA from 1 species
AGUGAACGCUGGCGGUAGGCCUAACACAUGCAAGUCGAACGGCAGCACAGUAAGAGCUUGCUCUUACGGGUGGCGAGUGGCGGACGGGUGAGGAAUACAUCGGAAUCUACUUUUUCGUGGGGGAUAACGUAGGGAAACUUACGCUAAUACCGCAUACGACCUACGGGUGAAAGCAGGGGAUCUUCGGACCUUGCGCGAUUGAAUGAGCCGAUGUCGGAUUAGCUAGUUGGCGGGGUAAAGGCCCACCAAGGCGACGAUCCGUAGCUGGUCUGAGAGGAUGAUCAGCCACACUGGAACUGAGACACGGUCCAGACUCCUACGGGAGGCAGCAGUGGGGAAUAUUGGACAAUGGGCGCAAGCCUGAUCCAGCCAUGCCGCGUGGGUGAAGAAGGUCUUCGGGUUGUAAAGCCCUUUUGUUGGGAAAGAAAAGCAGCAGGUUAAUACCCCGCUGUUCUGACGGUACCCAAAGAGUAAGCACCGGCUAACUUCGUG